rnacentral:rRNA from 1 species
GUGGGGGACAACAGUUGGAAACGACUGCUAAUACCGCAUAAUGUCUACGGACCAAAGGGGGCUUCGGCUCUCGCCUUUAGAUUGGCCCAAGUGGGAUUAGCUAGUUGGUGAGGUAAUGGCUCACCAAGGCGACGAUCCCUAGCUGGUUUGAGAGGAUGAUCAGCCACACUGGGACUGAGACACGGCCCAGACUCCUACGGGAGGCAGCAGUGGGGAAUAUUGCACAAUGGGCGCAAGCCUGAUGCAGCCAUGCCGCGUGUGUGAAGAAGGCCUUCGGGUUGUAAAGCACUUUCAGUCAGGAGGAAAGGUUAGUAGUUAAUACCUGCUAGCUGUGACGUUACUGACAGAAGAAGCACCGGCUAACUCCGUGCCAGCAGCCGCGGUAAUACGGAGGGUGCGAGCGUUAAUCGGAAUUACUGGGCGUAAAGCGUACGCAGGCGGUUUGUUAAGCGAGAUGUGAAAGCCCCGGGCUCAACCUGGGAACUGCAUUUC